rnacentral:lncRNA from 1 species
GAUCUCCUUAAUGGUGCCUCUACUGGCUCCAGAUUUGAUUCACCAAUGAAAUUUAAUUCUGUAUGUGUCCGUCCUUCCACCUCAUAAACUUCAUCCAGUUCAAUUUUACAGGCAUUAGCUCCUUCACCAAGGAACUUCUUUCCCAAAAAGACUGCCCAGCUGCUGACAAACAUCUUUUGUUCUGUAGUGAGGUAGAAGUAGUACCCUUUAGUUUUCUUUGGGUACCCUACGAAUAAGCAUCUAUCGGACUUCGGUCCAAGCUUAUCUAUCUUUAAAUGCUUGAUAUAAGCUGGACACCCCCAGACCCUA